rnacentral:tRNA from 1 species
AGGGGCGUAGCACAGUCUGGUAGCGCAUCUGCUUUGGGAGCAGAGGGUCGGGGGUUCAAAUCCCUCCGCCCCGACCA